rnacentral:rRNA from 1 species
AAAUUGAAGAGUUUGAUCAUGGCUCAGAUUGAACGCUGGCGGCAGGCCUAACACAUGCAAGUCGAACGGUAGCACAGAGAGCUUGCUCUCGGGUGACGAGUGGCGGACGGGUGAGUAAUGUCUGGGAAACUGCCCGAUGGAGGGGGAUAACUACUGGAAACGGUAGCUAAUACCGCAUAACGUCGCAAGACCAAAGUGGGGGACCUUCGGGCCUCACACCAUCGGAUGUGCCCAGAUGGGAUUAGCUAGUAGGUGGGGUAACGGCUCACCUAGGCGACGAUCCCUAGCUGGUCUGAGAGGAUGACCAGCCACACUGGAACUGAGACACGGUCCAGACUCCUACGGGAGGCAGCAGUGGGGAAUAUUGCACAAUGGGCGCAAGCCUGAUGCAGCCAUGCCGCGUGUAUGAAGAAGGCCUUCGGGUUGUAAAGUACUUUCAGCGAGGAGGAAGGCGUUGUGGUUAAUAACCACAGCGAUUGACGUUACUCGCAGAAGAAGCACCGGCUAACUCCGUGCCAGCAGCCGCGGUAAUACGGAGGGUGCAAGCGUUAAUCGGAAUUACUGGGCGUAAAGCGCACGCAGGCGGUUUGUUAAGUCAGAUGUGAAAUCCCCGGGCUCAACCUGGGAACUGCAUUUGAAACUGGCAAGCUUGAGUCUCGUAGAGGGGGGUAGAAUUCCAGGUGUAGCGGUGAAAUGCGUAGAGAUCUGGAGGAAUACCGGUGGCGAAGGCGGCCCCCUGGACAAAGACUGACGCUCAGGUGCGAAAGCGUGGGGAGCAAACAGGAUUAGAUACCCUGGUAGUCCACGCCGUAAACGAUGUCUACUUGGAGGUUGUGCCCUUGAGGCGUGGCUUCCGGAGCUAACGCGUUAAGUAGACCGCCUGGGGAGUACGGCCGCAAGGUUAAAACUCAAAUGAAUUGACGGGGGCCCGCACAAGCGGUGGAGCAUGUGGUUUAAUUCGAUGCAACGCGAAGAACCUUACCUGGUCUUGACAUCCACGGAAGUUUUCAGAGAUGAGAAUGUGCCUUCGGGAACCGUGAG